rfam:Schistosoma rodhaini strain Burundi genome assembly, scaffold: SROB_scaffold0009795
AUCCAGUUGACGAGUCCCAAAUAGGACGAAACGCGCGUCACACUGGAU